rnacentral:rRNA from 1 species
GACGAACGCUGGCGGCGUGCCUAAUACAUGCAAGUCGAGCGGACGAAUCGAAAGCUUGCUUUUGAUUCGUUAGCGGCGGACGGGUGAGUAACACGUGGGCAACCUGCCCUGUAGACGGGGAUAACACCGAGAAAUCGGUGCUAAUACCGGAUAACACGAAGUGUCGCAUGACGUUUCGUUGAACGCCGGCGCAAGCUGUCGCUACAGGAUGGGCCCGCGGCGCAUUAGCUAGUUGGUGGGGUAACGGCUCACCAAGGCGACGAUGCGUAGCCGACCUGAGAGGGUGAUCGGCCACACUGGGACUGAGACACGGCCCAGACUCCUACGGGAGGCAGCAGUAGGGAAUCUUCCGCAAUGGACGAAAGUCUGACGGAGCAACGCCGCGUGAGCGAAGAAGGCCUUCGGGUCGUAAAGCUCUGUUGUUAGGGAAGAACAAGUAACGCAGUAACUGGCGUUACCGUGACGGUACCUAACGAGAAAGCCACGGCUAACUACGUG